rfam:Citrus sinensis cultivar Ridge Pineapple sweet orange scaffold00256_contig_12, whole genome shotgun sequence.
GGACGGUGAAGAUUCCGCAGUGAAAGGUCUCGUUCGUCGUAACUGGCUAAGGAAUUAGCCUUGCCGACCAUCCUGUUAUAUCACCACCCAUAUUCUGAGUCC